rnacentral:rRNA from 1 species
AUUGAACGCUGGCGGCAUGCUUUACACAUGCAAGUCGAACGGCAGCGCGGGCUUCGGCCUGGCGGCGAGAGGCGAACGGGUGAGUAAUUCACCGGAACGUGCCCAGCAGUGGGGGAGAGCUCGGCGAAAGCCGGAUUAAUACCGCAUACGACCUGAGGGUGAAACCGGGGGAUUUUGGGAGCACGCGCUAUUUGAGUGGCCGAUGGCGGAUUGGCUGUUUGGUGGGGUAAAGGCCUACCAAGGGGUCGACCGGGAGCUGGUCUGAGAGGAGGACCGGCCACUCUGGACCUGGACCACGGCCCAGCCUCCUACGGGAGGCAGCGGUGGGGAUUUUUGGACAUUGGGGGAAGGCCUGCUCCAGCACUGCGGCGUAGUUGAUAAAGGCCUUCGGGUUUUAAAGCACUUUUGGCGGGAACGACGAGGACUGUGCCAAAACCACGAUUCGAUGACGGUACCCGCAGAAUAAGCACCGGCUAACUACGUG